AGAAAGUAAAGAAAUGGUAGUUGUACUUUUAUGAAAUGGGAAAGUAAACAAAUGGUACGCUGUGAAAUCCAGAAGCUUCAUCUUCUGUUGAUGAACAUAUUCACUGUGAACUUAUCCAGACUUAAUGUGAGAAAUGAUUUACAGAGAUAGCUUCUAUGUUGUUCCAAUGAGAUUUAACAUGUAUUCACUUGGCGUGCAGACGGAUCAGUGAAGAGCUGAUUUUUCAAGGCCGGGUUACUGUGAACGGGUCUGUUUGCAAGACUCCACAGACUAAAGUCGAUCCAGCUAGGGAUGUAAUUUAUGUCAAAGGAAAUCGUCUUCGUAAGAAACUGUCUUCGAAGGUUUAUCUUGCAUUAAACAAGCCUAAAGGGUACAUAUGCUCAUCAGGGGAGAAAGAAACUAAGUCAGCCAUAUCACUUUUAGAUGAUUUUAUAAAGAGUUGGGAUAAAAGACACCCUGGAGAAGCAAAACCUCAGCUCUUUACAGUCGGCAGACUUGAUGUUGCCACAACUGGAGCUUCAUCAUAUGCCCUUGCUGCUUCUUCAGUUGUGUCUAAGGUACCUAACCAUACCCUUAUUUUUGUAUAGUGUCUUUAAUUUCAGUAACCCAUCUUCCUGAUGGCCUUUGUCUAACACCCACAAAUCUCUUUCGUGCUCGUCUUGCUCCCUCAAAUGCGACUAUAGCAGUAGCCAGGCCACAUUCUCUUGAUGGUCAUCCUGGGUUAUUUGAAUAAUUUAGAGAAGAGGAAAUUAUAAAUAAUGAGAUUUAUUAAUAGAUAGUUUGUUUCCUUUGGGUGUGGAUGAUACGGACAUCUUCAAAGGCAUUAGUUUGAAAUUGCUAGCAUUUGAGUACCUACCACAGCAGGACCAGAAUUUGCAGGGGAAACUUAUUCUUGUUUAAAUAGUAAAUCCUGCUCGUAGCUUGGGCAAAGAUGUUCAGGAAGCAAAGAGGGAGACAUAUUCAACUACUGAAAGGAUCAACCAAAUUUAUGAUAUAUCUAAUUAUGAGCCUGUUAUUUUGAUUGAUCGUCCAGUUCCUCGCUAUGAGAAGACUGCAUACAAUGAUGUCGUUGAAUGUAGGCCAAUAUUCUUGGACUAUGAUGGCACUGUAGUACCUCAGCCAUCAUUUAUUAAAGCUCCAAGUGUUGAAGUUACUGCGCUGUUGAGUUCUUUAAGCAAUGAUCCUAAAAACACAAUGUAUAUUGUUAGUGAAAGUGGAAGGAGUUCAUUAAGUGAAUGGUUUGUACCAUGUGAAAGGCUCGGAAUAGCUGCUGAACAUGGGUAUUUCAUAAGAGAAUCACUUGAAGAUAAAGAAAAUUUGUGAGGCAGUAGAAGCUGGACGCCGAGGAAGGAUAACUAAGGUUUAUUUCUUAUUGUCUCUAAAAAAGAGUCACCAUGAAUUCAUCCAACCCGGGCACCAACUACCAUUGGAGUAUUCUUUCUAUUACUCGUUCCAGCAUCGCUCCGGAGUAUGAGUAUAGGACUGGAGGUAAAUGAAUUCAGCAGAGGCAUCCCCAAAUCACAGUUGUGGCUAGCCGUUAUAGUUGGUUCAUUUGGUGUAUGGAUCAGAUGAUUCUUAGCACGACUAACAAUAUAUCAGCAGUUUGCAGUAGUUUCCACCUUGAACAAAGCAUUUGUUAAAAAGCUAAAGUCUGAGCCACCUACAAAGGAGAUGGAGCUUCAAUUGAUGCGAGAAAUUGCAGUUGAAGUAUUGGUGAAUGUUGUUUGUAUAAUAGAGAAAGGUGAUGAGACAUUGUUACUUGGUGUUUAUAAAGAAAUUGGCAAGGAUUUACAUACUGAUGCUACCGGUAUUGGUUCACUUAAGAUCAUUGGUUCAAUGCAUUUGUUACUUGUUGGCUAUGUGUCAUUCUCCUCGUUAUAAUAGAGCUCAUGCUAUUGCUCUUGGUGCUUUUUUUUGGUCUGCUAUCACUUUCCUAGUUAUCCUCUCUUCGUACUUCACCGAUGUCCAUUGUGUAAUCUCUCUUUAUUUGAUGUUUAAUUAGUGAAAUGAUUUGAUACCCA